GCGUCACAAGCAGCGGUUUCUGGUGACGUCACGGGGGGGACGACUCCGGUGGUCUGAAGGGUGGCAGGGAUUAGGUUCUGUCAGAGUCCUGGAGUUGUUUACCUUUGUACCUCUGGAGCAGCAGCCAACCAAAGCUGAGAACAGGAAGCUUUGAGUACAAUUUGAAAAGAAAGAAAGAAACAACGACAACCCUAUAAUAUCAUGGGGAAAUGAGGAAGAACAACCUUUACUGUACCUGACGAGGGGUUCUUUCGGAUUUACUCCUGCACCACUCCCAGUCUGAAAGAUCUGGUUUCUGACUCUCUUCAUGAGACAGUCUUCUUUCUGGCCCUUCAAAAAAGAUGCCACUGCAUAUGCGUUCUGCCUGCAGUUGAUGAUGCAGCCACAGGGCAAGUGGGUCCAGCGUUUGGACAAGACAAACACUGGGGUUACAGUGGUGGCCAGAAGGGUAAGUAGAAAGCUGAGUGUCUCCAAGGGAAGGCUCUGAAACCCCACGACGUUCUGGACCGCCAUGUGCAUCUGCAAGGGCAAGAGAACUUUAGACCUAACCCAAAAUCACAUUAUAUACUUCCCAAGCCUUUUCCCCAUGCACGCUGCCUCAGUUCCCUUUCCAGCUCCCUCUCCUGAUUUGAGAGCUCGAGCUGGCGCCCUGUCCUUGGGGGUGGGCUCCUGGGAACGGCGGGACGCACCCCGCUAAGCCAGACAGCACAGGCUUGGGAGGGGUUUCUGCUUUUGAGUGCCGGGUCUGCGCCCGCUGCCUAUUCAAGACUCCACCAGAAAGACACAGUCUACAACGUGGAGGACGCUAGCUGGGAAACAGGAGUCCGUGAAACCUGCAUCUGGUUCUCAACAUGGCCUUUGUCGCCUCCCUGGACCCUCACCUCUGCCCACGCGCUUGUCACAGCGGGGCGCCACUCUGCCAUCUCUUAUUUGGAUUCGGCUUCCUCCUGGAGAGAGGAACAAAAGCCUGUUCUGUCGCCUCUCUUCUCCCUCCACAACUCAUCUCGCCUCUCUCCCGCCCUGCUGAGGAUGGGCGUCGUCCUCACUAGGCGGGAAUGGAACGGGGAGAAAGGGAUUUAAUUCCCUCUCCUUUUCUGAAUACUGUAAGAUUUUGCUGUGUGAGUCAAUAUCCUUGGCCAACACCGAUCUGCAAAACUAAGUAGCCUGCUACAGAAAGCGCUCCCCACGCCCCUGACUUUUGAAAGGAGAAGCAUCUAGUAGUUAAGGCUUUACGGCCAGCUAGCCCUGCCUUCCUCUAAGUGCGUCUCUAAAAUCCAGCGAGAUACACUUGGAAGCGGACUUCGCUGUGCGUCUCUUGGUGACUCCCCAAACCAGCGACGCUGGUCCCAACACUCAUUUACACUGUCUGGCACACACACUCGCGCUUUGUGAGCAACUGCACUUUUACCAUCAUGGGCAGCCAAAGGACGACUUUGGUAAGCGCUAGGAUCAAAGCGAAGCGCUUCUGCGCUAUGCUCACGGUGUAGCUCCUGGUGCCAUAGGGAGUUCCCCGGUUCUCACGCCUGCAGCCUCCAGCCCCCGCGGCAGCUGGUGCACCCAGUCCGAACACCGGGUCCAAGGUCGGGGAGCAUCCCCCAGAGCGCGGCAGACUCGGGGCCGGAGCAUCCUCCGGGGACAGGGAAAGUACUCUCCUCAUAGUAGGAGGGGUCCCAGGAGUGGAAACUCCACGGGAAAUUUCCUGGUAGUUGGCGUGGAGUCUCGGCGGCUCCUCUGAACACAGCAACCGGUAAGUGAGGGGGACCGAGAGGCCCACGAGGACUCCGAAGGCCAAAGCGUACACGGUAGAAAGCAGCAGCACGUAGGAGCUGGAGCAGUCCACCAGGCAGCCCCAGGGCGUGCGCACGAAGGCGCCCCAGCCGCACAGCGGGAGCGCGGAGAGCAGCAGACUGGCUGUCCAUACCGUCAGCACCACGCUGACCACCUGGCCCGAUCUUCUGGAGGCUGCCUGGCUCCCCACAUCCCUGUGCAUCGUGUAAAAGUUGUAAGAGACUAGGAGAGUAGCCUUCAAGUUGCUAGAGAGGCCCUGGCAUAAAUACAAUAAGGCAGAGGUGGUGCACAGAAAUUGGAAGUAACCGGGGAACUCGUUUGGCCACUGCAAAAACAUGAAGAUGGUCACCGAUAAGACGCUCAUAAGAUCAUCCACAGACCAGGAAGCCACAAGCAUGGACACAACGGUUCUGUUCUGCAUUUUCAGCAGAGAAAUUAGUGAAUAAAUGCUGCCCACCAAGGCUGCAAAAGUCAGGAGACAUGUCAAGCAAAACAGAUAGAUAUUCAGAGUUCCUGGAGGAUUUAAAAGGUCCGUAGAAUUAUGAUUCUCUUUCCAAAGGCUAGAGUCAUUUGUUGAUAAGUUACUGAGAAAUAAAGACAUUGUCCUUGGUCAAUAUUUAAUUUCCCUUAUCAACUAGUCUGAUCAUUUUCUCAAAAGAAAGACCGGCUGCUGGAAAUCAGAUUUCAUUUCUCCUACCAAGUUCCCCUCUAGAGAGUCUCCUGGUCAGUCCUGCAGGAAAUGGUCAGGCAUGUCUCCUUUAGAUCUGACUCAAGCUAUAUUUAAAAAUUAGGUUCCAUUUCAAGCAUAAAAAAAAACUGAACAAACAACUUUUCAACAUUCCAAUUAAAAACAAAGCAAAAACUCCUUCCCACCAUCAAGUUUCAGGCAAGAAAGCAAAAAAACUCUUCAGGUACAUUGAAAACCAAUGAUGUCUGGAUCCUUUAGGGUUCUUCUUACGGAGCAAAGUAGCUUGUAGCUUGAGAUAAUCAAACCCUGUUCACUUUUAAGAGCGGUAAAAUGAUGCAUUUGAUUCCAGAGCUGGCAGGAGAUGGUCAGGUAGGUUUCAGCUUUGAAGGUGAAAAGGGGCGGAGCGGGGGACAGAGAGAGAGAGCGCGAGUGCGAGCCAGUCAGAGGGAGCUUGUGCACAGAAUCCCGUCUGAACCGCUGUUCUUCAAUCAGCCUGUGAUCCUCGGAGCUGCAGGAAGGAGGAGUCAGCUCCAAGCAGGAAAAAAAGGGAGGGGAGUUCAGUGUUGAACAAAAUGAUAUACGUAUAUCUUAGCCUGCCUCUUUCAAAGCAAGAAACUGUGUCCUUGCUAAGCUUCCGGUUUGGUUUAACAUGUAAACCAGCCCAAAUACUUGCUCAGGCUUGAUGUGAACUACAAGUUUCACCUGUGAGAGGUCAAGCUACUCCAGUAACUCAGGGACUGCUUUUAUUCAUAUCUAGACUUCCUGCUUCAUAAUCCAUUGGAGGAAGAAUAUCAUCAAUGCCAUGUAUAAGACUAAGAUAUGUCAUAUUUCGUUUAAAAAAUUAGUGUGCUUAAGAUUGUCAUUAUAGUCCUCAUUACUCUAAAAAGGAUUAUGCAGAAUCUUUGGAUAGAGUCACACUAGCUUUGGUUAUUUAUUUAUAACUUUAUUUUCUGUCAGUGGCAUCAAGGAAGCAGGCUGUCAUUUGAAUAAAUGAUAUGGCUAACUAUCCAUAAAGUUGGAUGAUAUAUAGAGCCUAAAAGGAUCAUCCCACAGCAAACGUUUUUAACCAGUGUAUUUGAGACAUACAAUAGUUGUUUCUCUGAAUGGUCAAUUUUGCAAGAUGAGUGAUUUAGCAAAGAAGUAACUGACACAAGAGUACUUCUGGUUCAGCAUUUCCCAGGAUGCUUUAGGGUAGCAUUCUCCUCAGCUCAGCCUCAUGACCAUAUGGCUACAUUCUCCCACAUAGUGCUGGAGGUCUAAAUGGAAAUGGGAAGGAAAAGGAAAAAGUUGAUAUGAGAAUGAUUUAAUAACUGGAAGUAGUAAUAGCACUUCGAUCAUUCUUAUCAUUUAUUUCAAUGAUAACUGAAGUAUCAUUUUGAACCUGAAUCUGUUCAAGUAGAACAUGAUUACAUUAGUCAUUGCCAGCCACACCCUUCAAUAAACACAGCAGGCAUUUCACUUAUCAUUAUAUGUUGAUUGUUUUAUUUUCCCCCUCAUUCAUUCAGCAAAUGGAAACAAAAACCACAUGUAACCGCUAGUUCAGCUCUUUAGCUCUCCCUACUGAGAGUACAGACCAUGCAUGGCUAUGUGAGUAAGAACGGUUGGGCAUACAUUCAUUUUCAAAUAAUGUUGAUUCAGAAAGUGUGAUGAAAAACAAAUCUUAUUUUUGAACAUUUCAAAGUUCUGUGAAAAGCCAUUCUGCUGCUUCUCACAAACCUUAUUCUUUCUUGCCAUAACAAAAAUAUUAUUCUUCAAUAUGGUAUUGAGUCCUGAAUUUUCAGUUAGGUUGAAUAAUAAGUCUCAGAUUGUUAAUAUACAAUAAAUAGAAAUUAAUAAUAGCUACUGUAGUACCAUUUCAUGUCUGAGAACAUUUCCCCUAUUAUUAAUAUCAUUUUUGGGUUUUCCAUUAAAUAUAAAUUUGGAAAAGGGAUACUUAACCACCAUGUUGUACUGUUCUCUGGGAUAUUACAGAAGAAGAAAGAAUGUUUAGCACACUUCCAAAGGUUGGUAGUAGAACUGCAGCCAGGAGGGAGCUAGUAGAGAUAACUGAAUUUAACUCCAGACUGUGCUAUUGCUGGAUAGGUAACCUAGUACAAAAAUUCUUGUACUUUCUCUGGGUGUCUGUUUCUGCUCUGUAAAAUAAAGAGGGGUCUUAAUCCAUUUUGUGCUAAAACAGAAUACCACAGACUGUGAAAUUAAUGAAGAAAAAAAUUUCUCACAGUUCUGGAGGCUGGGAAAUCCAAUAGCAAGGUGUCAGCAAGGGUCUUCUUGCUGCAUCACCCCAAGGUAGAAGGUAAAAGGAAAAGAGAGCAUGAGAGAAAAAGAUAGAUAGAUAGAUAGAUAGAUAGAUAGAUAGAUAGAUAAUAGAUAGAUAGAUAGAUAGAUAGAUUGCAAGAGGGGGAUGAACUCACUUUUUCUUUCCUUUUUUUUUUUUUAAGAGCCAGGAUCUCGCUCUUUCACCCAGGUUGGAGUGCAGUGGCACCAUCUGGCUCACUAAACCUCCAAUUCCUGGGCUCAAGUGAUUCUCCUAACUCAGCUUCCCAAGUAGUUGGAACUACGGGUUCGAGAUACCAUGCCAAGUUAUGUUUUAUUUUAUUUUAUUUUAUUUUUUGUUUUUUAUUUUUGUAUUUUUUAGAGGUGAGGUCUCACCUGGCCUCAAGUGAUCCACCCACCUCAGCCUCCUAAGGUGUUGGGAUUAUAGGUGUGAGUCUCUGCACAUGGUCUCACUUUUAUAACAAGCCCACUUUGUAACUAACACACUUGUGAAGUAAUGGCAUUAAUUCACUUAUGAGAGCAGGACCCUCAUGAUCAAAUCAUCUAUUUUUAGGAUGCACUUUCCAAGGCUGUUGCACUUGUAUUAAGUUUUAAACACAUGAACUUUGUGGAACACAUUCAAAGCAUAGUGAGGUGUUAAACUAGAUUAUUUUUAGAGACUUUUCCAGUUCUAAAAUUAAAUAAUACAAUUUUUAGAAGUUCAAGUUAACCUCAUUUCUAUUUUCUUUUUCGCCUACUUCACAAUAAUCAACAUUGUCUUCUAAUAAGAGUUGGAAGCCAGCAAGAGCUAAUACUUGGAUUCUGCAUGAUUUUUCUUUCUCUGAUAGCAUGGAGGCUCUUGUCUAUAGGACGUAGUAUAAGAUUCAAGCAAUCUGAAAUCUCUGAGCCAACUGAGAGAUUAUGGCUUGUCCUGGAGAUCUGUGUGAACCUAAAGCAAGUUUCGUAUGAAUGAGAGGUAAAUUAUGUUGUGUCAAUCACUGAAUUUUGGGAGUUGAUUGUUACUGGAUAAUAUCCUAGCUCAUCCCAAUAUUGUUAGAGAUAUUAUUGCUCCCCUUUCAUAGGUGAGAAAACAGAUCCAUGAGAGAUUAAUUGAUUUUCCCAAAGGCACACAUUUAUUAAAUGGUGGAGUCAGAUUUUAAAAUUGUAGUUGAGUUCUGCAUUCUUAAUCAUAACAGAUACAUAUUUUCUUUAUUUUAAUUAAUUUAUUUUUUUAAUUGUACUUUAGGUUCUGGGGUACAUAUGCAGAUCAUACAGGAUUGUUGCAUAGGUACACACAUGGCAAUGUGGUUUGCUGCCUCCAUUUCCCCAUCACCUACAUUUGGCAUUUCUCCCCAUGUUAUCACUCCCUGACCUCCCCACCCCACAGCUGUCCCUUCCUUGGCCCCCUGCAACAGACCUCAGUGUGUGAUGCUCCCCUCCCAGUGUCCCUGUGUUCUCAUUGUUCACCACCCGCCUAUGAGUAAGAACAUGAGGUGUUUGAUUUUCUGUUCUUGUGUCAGUUUUCUGAGAAUGAUAGUUUCCAGAUUCAUCCAUUUCCCUACAAAGGACAGGAUCACAUUUUCCUUGUCUAGUCUAUUGUCAAUGGGCAUUUGGGUUGCUUCCAGGUCUUUGCUAUUGUAAAUGGUGCCUCUAUGAACAUACAUGUGCAUGUGUCUUUAUAAAAGAACGGUUUAUAAACCUUUGGUCUCAUGUAUGUCUUCUUCUGAAAAGUGUCUCUUCAUAUUCUUUGCCCACUUUUGGUUGGGCUUGUUUUUUCUUAUAAAUCUGUUUUAGUUCUUUGUAGAUUCUGGAUAUUGGCCCUUUGUCAGAUGGGUAGAUUGCGAAAACUUUUUCCCAUUCUGUUGGUUGCCGGUUCACUCUAAUGAUUCUUCUGCUGAACAGAAGCUGUGUAGUUUAAUUAGAUCUCAUUUGUCUAUUUUGGCUUUUGUUGCCAAUGCUUUUGGUGUUUUAGUCAUGAAUUCCUUGCUAUGCCUAUGUCCUGAAUGGUUUUGCCUAGAUUUUCUUCUAGGGUUUUUAUGGUGUGAGGUCUUAUGUUUAAGUCUUUAAUCCAUCUGGAGUUAAUUUUAGUGUAAGGUGUCAGGAAGGGGUCCAGUUUCUGCUUUGUGCACAUUGCUAGCCAGUUUUCCCAACACCAUUUAUUAAACAGGGAAUCCUUUCCCCAUUGCUUGUUUUUGUCAGGUUUGUCAAAGAUCUGAUGGUUGUAGAUGUGUGGCAUUGCCUCCAAAGCCUCUGUUCUUUUCCUUUGGUCUAUAUCUCUGUUUUGGUACCAGUACUGUGCUGAUUUGAUUACUGUAGCCUUGUAGUAUAGUUUGGAGUCAGGUAGCAUGAUGCCUCUGGCUUUGUUAUUUUUGCUUAGGAUUGUCUUGGCUAUGCAGGCUCUCUUUUGGUUACAUAUGAAGUUUAAGGUGAUUUUUUUCCAGUUCUGUGAAGAAGGUCAUUGAUAGCUUGAUGGGGAUAACAUUGAAUCUAUAAAUUACUUUGGGCAGUAUGGCUAUUUUCAUAAUAUCUAUUCUUCCUAACCAUGGGCAUGGAAUGUUUCUCCAUCUGUCUGUGUCCUCUCUUAUUUCAUUGAGCAGUGGUUUGUAUUUCCUCUUGAAGAGGUCCUUUACAUCCUUUGUUAGUUGUAUUCCUAGGUAUUUUAUUCUCUUUGUAGCAAUUGUGAAUGGGAAUUUGCUCAUGAUUUGGCUCUUUGUUAGUCUGCUGUUGGUGUAUAGAAGUGCUUAUGAUUUCUGCACAUUGAUUUUGUAUCCUGAGACUUUGCUGAAGUUGCUUAUAAGUUUAAGGAGAUUUUGGGCUGUGAUGAUAGGGUCUUCUAAAUAUAUAAUCAUGUUGUCUGCAAAUAGAGACAGUUUGACUUCCUCAUUUCCUAAUUGAAUACCCUUUAUUUUUUUUUUUCCUUCCUAAUUGCUUUGGCUAGAACUUCCAACACUGUAUUGAAUAGGACUGGUGAGAGAGGGCAUUCUUGUCUAGUGCCAGAUUUCAAAGGGAAUGCUUGCAGUUUUUUCCCAUUCAGUAUGAUAUUGGCUGUAGGUUCAUCAUAAAUAGCUUUUAUUAUUUUGAGAUAUGUUCCUUCAAUACCUAGUUUAUUGAGAGUUUUUAGCAUAAAGAGUUGUUGAAUUUCGUCGAAGGCCUUCUCUGCAUCUAUUGAGAUAAUUGUAUGAUUUUUGUCUUUGGUUCUGUUUAUAUGGAGGAUUACGUUUAUAGGCUUGCUUAUAUUGAACCAGCCUUGCAUCCCCAGGAUGAAGCCUGAUUGAGAUGGAUAAGCUUUUUGAUGUGCUGUUGUAGUCAGUUUGCCAGUAUUUUAUUGAAGAUUUUUGCAUUUAUGUUCAUCAUGGAUAUUGGCCUGAAGUUUUCUUUUUUUGUUGAGUCUCUGCCAGGUUUUGGUAUCAGAAUGAUAUUGAUCUCAUAAAAUGAUUUGGGAAGGAUUCCCUCUUUUUGUAUUGUUUGGAAUAGUUUUAGAAGGAAUAGUAUCAGCUCCUCUUUGUAUGUAUGGUAGAAUUCAGCUGUGAACCCAUCUGGACUUGGACUUUUUUUGGUUGGUAGGCUAUUAAUUGCUGCCUCAACUACAGCCCUUGUUAUAGGUCUGUUCAAAGUUUCAAAUUCUUCUUGGUUUAGGUUUGGGAGGGUGCAAGUGUCCAGGAAUUUACCCAUUUCUUCCAGGUUUACUGGUUUAUGUGCAUAGAGUUGUUUGUAAUAAUCUCUGAUAGUAGUUUGUAUUUCUGUGGAAUUGGUGAUGAUAUUCCAUUUUCAUUUUUAUUGAAUCUAUUUGAUUAUUCUCCCUUUUCUUUUUUUUAUUAAUCUGGCUAGCAGACUGUCUAUUUUGUAUAUCUUUUCAAAAAAACCAGCUCCUGGAUUUAUUGAUUGUUUGAAGGUUUUUUUUUUUUUUGUCUCUAUCUCCUUCAGUUCUGCUCUGAUCUUAGUUAUUUUUUGUCUUCUGCUAGCUUUUGAGUUUUUUUCUGAUCUUGCUCCUCUAGCUCUUUCAAUUUUGACAAUAGCAUGCUGAUUUUAGAUCUUUCCUCAAUUCUCUGGUGGGCAUUUAUUGCUAUGAAUUUCCUUCUAGACACUGCUUUAAAUGUGUCCCAGAGAUUCUCCUAUGUUGUGUCUUUGUUCUUGUUGGUUUCAAAGAAAGUCUUUAUUUCUGCCAUGAUUUCAUUGUUUAUUCAGUCAACAUUCAGGAGCAGGUUGUUGUUUCCAUGAAGAUGUGGAAUUCUGAGUUGGUUUCUUAAUUCUGAAUUCUAAUUUGAUUACACUGUGGUCUGAGAGACAGUUUGUUAUGAUUUCUGUUCUUUUGCAUUUGUUGAGGAGUGAUUUAGUUCCAAUGAUGAGGUCAGUUUUGGAGUAGGUGCAAUGCAGUGCUGAGAAUAAUGUAUGUUCUGUGGAUUUGGGCUGGAGAUUUCUGUAGACAUCCAGUAGGUUCACUUGGUCCAGAUCUGAGUUCAAGUUUUGAAUAUUCUUACUAAUUUUCUGUCUAAUUGAUCUGUCUAAUAUUGACAGUGGAGUGUUAAAGUCUCCCAUUAUUAUUGUGUGGGAGUCUAAGUCUCUUUGUAGGUCGUUAAGAACUUGCUUUCUGUACCUGAGUGCUCCUGUAUUGGGUGUGUGUAUAUUUUGGAUGGUUAGCUCUUCUUGAUGCAUUGCUCCUUUUACCAUUAUGUAAUGCCCUUCUCUUUUGAUCUUUGUUGGUUUAAAGUCUAUUUUAUCAAAUACUAGGAUUGCAACUCCUGCUUUACUAGCCCUCCGUUUGCUUGGUAGGUCUUCCUCAAUCCCUUUAUUUUUAGCCUAUGUGUGUUCUUGCACCUGAGAUGGGCUUCCUGAAUAUAGUACACCGAUGGGUCUUUCUUUUUAUCCAAUUUGCCCAUCUGUGUCUUUUGAUUGGGGCAUUUAGCCCAUUUACAUUUAAGAUUAAUAUUGUUAUAUGUGAAUUUGAUCCUGCCAUUUUGAUGCUAGCUGGAUGUUUUCCCAUUAGUUGAUGCAUUUUCUUCAUUGUGUCGAUGGUCUUCACUAUUUGGUACAUUUUAGGAGUGCUGGUACUGGUUUGUUCCUUUCCUUGCUUAGUGCUUCUUUCAGGACCUCGUGUAAGGCAGGCCUGAUGGUGACGAAAUCUCUCAGCAAUUGCUUAUCUGUUAAGGAUUUUAUUUCUCUUUCACGUAUGAAGCUUAGUUUGGCUGGAUAUGAAAUUCUGGGUUGAAAGUUCCUUUCUUUAAGGAUGUUGAAUAUUGGCCCCCACUCUCUUCUGGCUUGGAGGGUUUCUGUGGAGAGAUCCGUUGUGAGUCUGAUGGGCUUCCCUUUGUGGGCAACCCGAUCUUUCUGCGUGCCCAUAGCAUUUUUUCCUUCAUUUCAACCCUGGUGAAUCUGAAGAUUAUGUGCCUUGGGGUUGCUCUUCUUGAGGAAUAUCUUUGUGGUGUUCUCUGUAUUUCCUGGACUUGAAUGGUGGCCUGCCUUGCUAGGUUAGGGAAGUUCUGGAUAAUAUCCUGAAGAGUGUUUUCCAGCUUGGAUUCAUUCUCUCGGUAACAUUCAGGUCCAUUUAUCAAAUGUAGAUUAGGUCUUUUCACAUAAUCCCGUAUUUCUUGGUGGUUUUGUUCAUUUCUUUUCACUCUUUUUUCUCUAAUCUUGCCUUCUGAUUUUAUUUCAUUGAGUUGAUCUUCAAUCUCUGAUAUCCUUUCUUCUGCUUGUUCAAUUCAGCUAUGGAAACUUGUGUAUGCUUUGUAAAAUUCUCAUGCUGUUUUUCAGCUCCAGCAGGUCGUUUAUAUUCUUCUCUAAGCUGUUUAUUCUAGUUAGCAUCUCAUCUAACCUUUUUUCUAGGUUCCUAGUUUCUUUGCAUUGCAUUAGCCUGUGUUCUUUUAACUCUUAGAAGUUUGUUAUUACUGACCUUCUGAAGCCUAUUUCUGUCAAUUCAUCAGACUCAGUCUUCCACUAUCUUUGAUCCCUAGCUGGUGAGGAGUUGUGAUCCCUUGGAGGAGGGGAGGUGUUCUGGUGUUUGGUGUUUUCAUCCUUUUUUCUCUGGUUUCUUCCUAUCUUAGUGGCUUUAUCUACCUGUGGUCUUUGUAGAUGGUAACUUUUGGAUGGGGUCUCUGAAUGGAUGUCCUUUUUGUUGAUGUUGAAGAUUAUUUCUUUCUGUUUCUUAGUUUUCCUUCUAACAGUCAGGCCCCUCUGCUGCAGGACUGCUGGAUGUCCACUCCAGACUCUACUUGCCUGGAGAUCACCCGUGGGGGCUGCAGAAAAGUAAGGGUUGCUGCCAGUUUCUUCUGUUAUCUUUGUCCCAGAAGGGUACCAGCCUGAUGUCGGCCUGAGCUCUCUUUUAUGAGGUGUCACUUUGUGUAUAUGGGUGUCAGGGAGCUGCUUGAGGAGCCAGUCUAUCCCUUAUAGGAGCGCAAGUGCUGUGCUGGGAACUCCUUUGUUCCAUGCAGGGCUGCUGGGCAGGUACCUUUAAGUCUACUGCAGCAGAACUCAUAACCACCUCUUUUCCCGGGUGCAACAGAUACAUAUUUUGUAGUAACUCCCUUUAAGCUCUUGGAAACACUUUCAAUGAAUGUUGAUAAUCAUAAAGUUUUAUAUCUGCUUUCCCGUCUUGCAAAGAAUGUUUGAAAUUUCUCAUUGUAUAAAAUUUUAAUUUUCAGUAUUUUACCAGCUUUUAUGUUUUAUAAUGUAUUUUAUAUAUAUCUAUAGCAUAUAUAAAUAUGUGUUUUAUAAUGCAUUAUAUGCAUUAUAUAUAUACAUUAUUAUAUAUGAGUGAUGAGUGUCUUGAAAAUUGUAAACCCUCUCUUAGCCAUAAUUUUAUUUUUUUUUAAAUAUCCUCCUGAGGGGGAAAAAACACUCCCAAUGCCUUUUGAAUAACCAUAAUAACUUUUAGGAGACCAUGAAGAAAAAUUUCGAAGAAGCUUCUUUGUGCCUUAAAAAUUUUUACUCAGUUCCUGUCUGUGAAUUUUUGUUUCUCUGCCUCGCCUAUAAUAGAACUUUAUGUCUUCCAUGAUUGUAAAUUCUGUCUUUAAAUUUGUUAACGCAAAUUUACAUUAAUUGAAAUAAAAGUUAUGGUUAUGCCAGAACAGCUUAGGUGAAGACAUUUAUUUUUAUUCCACUGCUUCUUUGGCUACUUUAAAACAUGUACUAUAUUGUUUGACAGUUUGUAAUGCCAUAUUACAAACUGUCAAACAACCUACAGAGUGCUAAAUUACAGAAAUUUUACAGAAAUAAAUUGCAAACAAUUUAAACAACCUACAGAAAAUUACAUGGCAAUAAUUCCAUUAGGCUUGUAGUUUAUGCAGCCCUGAUGUAAUUGUAUCUUUGCAAAGCACUACAGGCAACUUACUUCUCUAAAAGUUCGUACUAUAUCUGAAAGUUCUCAGAGCGUGAUAUCUGAAAAUCCUCAAAGAAUAGGAAAUAGUGUAAAAAGUUAUAGUUGAAUAUUAUAAAAUAGCAUUCUUAGAAAUGUGGGGUUUGACAAUAAAAACGUUAUGAUGGGACCAAAUGAAAUGAUUUAAUUUUGUUUUAUGAAAAUAAAUAAAACGUCACAGAUAAAGUUAA